AUUGAACGCUGGCGGCAUGCUUUACACAUGCAAGUCGAACGGCAGCGCGGGCUUCGGCCUGGCGGCGAGUGGCGAACGGGUGAGUAAUGCAUCGGAACGUGCCCAGUAGUGGGGGAUAGCCCGGCGAAAGCCGGGUUAAUACCGCAUACGACCUGAGGGUGAAAGCGGGGGACCGAAAGGCCUCGCGCUAUUGGAGCGGCCGAUGUCGGAUUAGCUAGUUGGUGGGGUAAAGGCUUACCAAGGCGACGAUCCGUAGCUGGUCUGAGAGGACGACCAGCCACACUGGAACUGAGACACGGCCCAGACUCCUACGGGAGGCAGCAGUGGGGAAUUUUGGACAAUGGGGGCAACCCUGAUCCAGCCAUGCCGCGUGCGGGAAGAAGGCCUUCGGGUUGUAAACCGCUUUUGUUCGGGAAGAAAUCCUCUGGGCUAAUACCCCGGGGGGAUGACGGUACCGGAAGAAUAAGCACCGGCUAACUACGUG
rnacentral:rRNA from 1 species